UACAGAAAAGUGAUUAUUAGGGGCGUAAUAUUAGAUGCAGAAAUAAAAUUUUGCCUCUAAUAGUAUUCAUUAGGGACCAAAGCAUGCAUUUCUCUCUAUUAAAAUAAUAGCGACAAACAAUAAACCGCCUCUACUAAUUUUAUCACUUUUAGGGACGGAAAAAAAACUGCCUUUACUAAAUUUAGCUAUCAGAGGCGAAUGCAAUUAGCCCCUAAUUCAACUAAUAAUUAUUUAAAUUUAAUUAUUUUUUUCAUUAGAGGCGGAUGUUUGUACUUAUUUAUUUAAAAAAAAAUUAUAUUUAAGACGGAUAUGUUUAAUUACUAUUUAAUUUUUACAAAAAAAAAAAAAAAUGAAGGAUAUUACUAUUUACCAGAAGAAAAAAAAAUCCAUCUAAACUCUAAUUCCAAUACAUACCCACUACCCUCAUUUUUCUCUUUUCCCUCUUCCACUGCUGCACAGUUCAUCAUUUUCCCCUUUUUCCUUGAUUUUUCUUCCCAUCCCUUUCUCUUGUGCAGAUUUAAACCCGUCCUCUCUUUCAUUCUUCAUAAUCUUUUGUUGCUAUUUUCCUUUUGCUACUCCGAGAGGACUGAAUGAAAGGUAUACUUGAGGGGGUUUUGAAUAAUUAAGAGUGGAAGAGAAUUUCAUGAAUAGUUUGGAAUAGAUAUAUCAUUUUAUUGAUAGGGAGAAAGAGGUUCUCAAGAAUUUUCAUUUUAGAGGUAAUUCCCUUGUAUUAAUCUUUGUUUAUUGAUUUUUCUUAUACGUUUAAUUGAUUGUGAAAUUCAGGAUUGAUUUUUCUGUUUGUUCGUACAAAUUAGUAAACUUUGUAAUUUGGCU